rfam:Aedes albopictus isolate Foshan contig102857, whole genome shotgun sequence.
CUCCAGUUUGCCUAGUGGUAAGGCUAAGGAUCGCCAAUCCGGAGACGGCGGGUUCGAUUCCCGUUCUGGUCG